GACGAACGCUGGCGGCGUGCUUAACACAUGCAAGUCGAACGGAAAGGCCCUGCUUUUGUGGGGUGCUCGAGAGGCGAACGGGUGAGUAACACGUGAGUAACCUGCCCUUGACUUUGGGAUAACUUCAGGAAACUGGGGCUAAUACCGGAUAGGAGCUCCUGCUGCAUGGUGGGGGUUGGAAAGUUUCGGCGGUUGGGGAUGGACUCGCGGCUUAUCAGCUUGUUGGCGGGGUAGUGGCUUACCAAGGCUUUGACGGGUAGCCGGCCUGAGAGGGUGACCGGCCACAUUGGGACUGAGAUACGGCCCAGACUCCUACGGGAGGCAGCAGUGGGGAAUAUUGCACAAUGGGCGGAAGCCUGAUGCAGCAACGCCGCGUGCGGGAUGACGGCCUUCGGGUUGUAAACCGCUUUCGCCUGUGACGAAGCGUGAGUGACGGUAAUGGGUAAAGAAGCACCGGCUAACUACGUG
rnacentral:rRNA from 1 species